rnacentral:rRNA from 1 species
GACGAACGCUGGCGGCGUGCUUAACACAUGCAAGUCGAACGGAAAGGCCCUGCUUUUGUGGGGUGCUCGAGUGGCGAACGGGUGAGUAACACGUGAGUAACCUGCCCUUGACUUUGGGAUAACUUCAGGAAACUGGGGCUAAUACCGGAUAGGAGCUCCUGCUGCAUGGUGGGGGUUGGAAAGUUUCGGCGGUUGGGGAUGGACUCGCGGCUUAUCAGCUUGUUGGUGGGGUAGUGGCUUACCAAGGCUUUGACGGGUAGCCGGCCUGAGAGGGUGACCGGCCACAUUGGGACUGAGAUACGGCCCAGACUCCUACGGGAGGCAGCAGUGGGGAAUAUUGCACAAUGGGUAGAAGCCUGAUGCGGCAACGCCGCGUGCGGGAUGACGGCCUUCGGGUUGUAAACCGCUUUCGCCUGUGACGAAGCGUGAGUGACGGUAAUGGGUAAAGAAGCACCGGCUAACUACGU